GAAGGGCCCGAGCGUUAAUCGGAAUCACUGGGCUUAAAGCGUACGCAGGCGGACUCGCAGGCAUCUUGUGAAAUCCCUCGGCUCAACCGAGGGACUGCAGGGUGAACCGCGCGUCUUGAGGCAAGUAGGGGCUGUCGGAACGCUAGGUGGAGUGGUGAAAUGCGUUGAUAUCUAGCGGAACGCCGAAGGAGAAAUCAGGCAGCUGGGCUUGUUCUGACGCUGAGGUACGAAAGCGUGGGGGGAGCGAACGGGAUUAGAUACCCCGGUAGUCCACGCCGUAAACGAUGUGCACUAGAUCGGGGGAGGUUCUGACACCGUUCCCGGUCGAAGCGAAAGUGUUAAGUGCACCGCCUGGGGAGUACGGUCGCAAGGCUA
rnacentral:rRNA from 1 species